rnacentral:lncRNA from 1 species
GAUGUGUACUUUAAAACUAUUACUAUUUUUUCAAGUAAUUUUAACUUAAAAUUUUUUUCUGUUUUUUUUCUUUUAAUUAACAUCUAAAACCCAGUUUGUCAUUAAAAAAAAAAAAAGAAAAGAAAAAGAAAACCAUUACUUGUAAUUCCUGUACCUAGGAGGGGAGGCAGGGGGAUCAGCAGUUCAAGUUCAUCCUCGGUUGUAGCGAGGUCCAAGCCAAAACACAGACAAGCGAGUGCAGGACCAAUCUGUCCUUAGAGAAUCUUCCUGUUGUGUGUUUAAGUGUAAUGUCUUGAUUUUAAUUUCCCAAGAAAUUGGAAAUAUUAGUCACUGCCAUAUGUACUAUCUUAGGGUCUCUAAGCACAAGUAUAUUGUUGGUGUAUGGAGAGUGACAAGGAUGAUAGAGGAGUUCUGUACCAGAGCACAGGCUGUUGUCACAAGUCUUGGAAGACCAUGUACUAUUCAACCAAAAAUAUUUGAAGUUAUGGAUAUUACUUGUCCUUAGGGAGCACAAUAUUACAAGAGGCUAUGCAACAAUUGUUUUCUGUGUAAGUAGUUUACAGCCACUCAAGGAGAGAUAAAACCUGCAAUAAAGUGGAUUCAGUUGUAUAACAUCACUGAUUUUAAACCCCAUUUUUGUUCCUGGUGCCUGAUAACAGAGAAUAUCAAAUAUCCAAUGAAAGAACAAAGCUUUUCGGUACAUGUUAACUGACUUUCACUUGUAUUAAAUGUUUCCUUAGACUUAUAUCAGGAUCCAAAAUCUUUUUUUGUUUGUUUGUUUUGUUUUUUCGAGACAGGGUUUCUCUGUGUAGCCCUGGCUGUCCUGGAACUCACUCUGUAGACCAGGCUGGCCUCAAACUCAGAAAUCCACCUGCUUCUGCCUCCCAAGUGCUGGGAUUAAAGGCAUGUGCCACCACUGCCUGGCCCAAAAUCUUUUAAAGCUAAAAUAUCCCAGUGCUUUUUAGAAGUAAAGCUAGUGCAAUUCUCAUUAAGGAUGCUGUAUGGGUCCUGAAUAACCUUGUAAAAGAAUAAGAUUCCCAGGUUUAGAAACAUGUGUCUAGGGUCUGGAGAGAUGGAUUGGUGGUUUGGAGCACAGGCCUGGACUCAAUUCCUAGCAAACACAUGGCAGCUCACAACUGUCUAUAACUCCAAUUCCAGAGGAUCUGAAACCCUCACACAGACAUACAUGCAGGCACAUGAAAUGCAAAUAAGUAAAAAGUAAAAAGAAAAGUUAAAAACCAUGUGUCAGGUGAGCUGGUAGCAGUAUUGGGAUAGAUGUAGGAGUGCCCUUGAUAUGCCUGCUGUGGGAAGGAAUUAGAAGGAAAAUGGAAGGACAUAUAAAUUCCUUUUUAGCCAGUCUUUAAGGGGCUUUCCUAGUUCUGCCAUGGCUUCUGUUAUGAGAGCAGUAUAUAGUGGUUAGAGGGUGCACUUCAGAGUCAGAAUUUGAGGUCAGUACUAGUUAUGAGAUUUUAGGCAAAUCAUUUGGAGUCUGAAAGCAACAUUUUUCUUAUGUCUAAAGUGAAAAUAAUCCCUGUCUGAAGGAGCAGUUCAAUUUGCCUUAAAGCAUUUAACACAGUCUGGCAAUGGCUUUAAAUGGGGUAGCCAUUGCUUAUGUUCCACCUAACUCCCUGCUGUAUGCAGUACACUUCUAAAUGCCCCCUGCAACUGUCUGUUAUUUGAAUUUCUGCUAGCUUUUGAACAGCUCCAAGCUGAACACAAACUAACAUUGAGCACUCUUCUUUUAUUUUUUUCUGUUGUGUUCCCUGCCCUGAGCCACUAUCUUGUAAGUUGGUUGCUUAAACUAGAAUUUUAUAGUCUUCUGUGGCUUUUAAAAAUAUUGUGCCUGGCAAAUAUAGAAGUGGAUGCUCACAAUCAUCCAUUAGAUGGAGCACUGGGUCCCCAAUGAAGGAGCUAGAGAAAGGACCCAAGGAGCUGAAGGGGUUUGCAGCCCCAUAGGAGGAACAUCAAUAUGAACUAACCAGUACCCCCAGAGUUUCUUAGAACUAAACCACCAAUCAGAGAAAACAUGGUGGAAUUUGUGGCUCUAGCUGUAUGUGUAGCAGAGGAUGGCCUAGUCGGUCAUUAAUGGGAGGAGAGGCCCUUGGUCCUGUGAAGGCUCUAUGCCCCAGUAUAGGGGAAUGCCAGUACUAGGAAUGGGAGUGGGUGGGUUGGGGAGCAGGGCGAAGGGGGAGGGGAUAGGGGAUUUUUGGAGGGGAAACUAGGAAGAGGGAUAACAUUUGAAAUGUAAAUAAAGAAAAUAUCUAAUAAAAAAUUUUAAAAAAUUAUAAACAUCAAACUGGUUAUUUUGGGCAUGUUUUCAACACUACACAAUUUCAUAAACUUUCCAUUCAGGUAUAUGUUAUCUGUUGAGACAAGUUCUAUCUAUCUUAAACCAAACAUUGAUUUUUAUUUUUAUGUUUCCUAGUUUUCUCUACUUGCUACUUCUUCCAUUCUCUAAAAUGGGUAGUAAACCAAACCAAUAUUUGUGAUACCUCGCAUAUCUGUCUCUAUGGACCAAACCAUUUACUUGUUGUUGAAUCUCUGAUGUCUAGGAGAUAAGGGCCAACAAUAAAACUUUGAUUUAAAAGGAAUGAGUGUGAUAUACAUAUUGUGAUGUUGUACUUCAGCAUGAGUGUAUGUAUUCCCUGAUGGGAACUUGAUGGAAUGUUGUUUUUAACUAAAUUGAACUUGAAUUCUAAGAAACACGAAUUUUAGUACAGUGAAAAAUGACUCAGGCAACAGUAUUAUUUUUAAAUGACAGAAAGAAUACAUGAUGGUUUUAAACACUCAAUGUUUACUGGGUAAGGAAGCAAAAGAAGUACGGGCUCAGUGGAGGUUGCAUAGGACAGCUCAGGGUGUUAGGCUUGAGGUGCCCAUUAGAAAUGCACUGAGCGGUAAGUGUAGUACUCAGGCUACAAAUCUAGAGCUCAGGCUAGGGGCAAGCUGAGGACCAAAGAAAGAUGCUUGUUGGGGAUUUUAAGAGGCUUAGAGAUUGCACCAGUCACUGAGGAAAGCAGAGAGCGGCUUGGCAGUAGAACCUGAGGUCAUGCCCUAACUCAGUUACUGUUGACGCGCAUGAGCUGAGAUUAUGGCCAAGUCGGCAUAUGCGUAUUUUCUUACUAUAGGCUUCAUCAGGCAGUUAUAAUAGAGAAAGAGAAGGGCCAAAAUAAUGAGCUAGGAUGGAUAAGAAAGGAAUUAGGAUCUGACGAGUGACAGUGGAAGACAAAGGCUGAUAGUGAAGGGCUCUGAGUGAGCUGUGGUGGAGGUGUGGCUAUUCUCCCUGUAAUGCCAUCUAAUGCUUUCCCAGAGAAAUAGAUGUCUAAAACAACUAGGAGAAGCCAAGAUGACUUAAGAGAUAACUUUCAUAUUUUUGUCUUUUGUCUUGCCAAUGAAGGAAACUAUCAUUCCCUCCUGUGAGUAUAAACCCCAGAUAAUCCAUGGGUGACCUCACUUCUAUGCUUAUCUUUUACUUGGUCCACCAGGCUCACUGUCCUCAGGACUCUCUGCAGAUGUGGCCUUUUUUACUGUGGCCUUUCUUAUACUAUAACACAAGAUCUUACCCAUUUGCUAUCUUUAUGAGUUGGUGAGUCAUUGUGGCUUCAAGCAGAUGUGGAGCUGUAGUUUUGGCAGCAUCUUUGACUUUACCUGGGAAGAGUUGUGGAACUGACUUUUAAACUGUAUUAUUCACCUUCAGCAGCAAGCAUAAAGAUGUCUUAUGUAUGUGAAUGUACAUUCCUCAGUAUAUUCUAUGCCUCAUUUAAAGUCUUUUCUCAUACAUUUUUGUUCAGCUUCUCCCAUGAUGUCUGAUACUUUAUUUGCAGUAUUUUUUCACAAAUAAUGGAUGAUACAUUAUUUACUGAUCAUAUUUCACUCACUUGACUGUCUUAAUCACUGUUGAAAACUCAAAAAGCAGUUCUGAUUUUAAAAAAAAAUCCUCUCAAACAAAAUAAAAAAUAAAAAUGUCUUUGUGAAGACAUAUUUGUAGCCACAUUGAUUAUUCCUAAAUCCAAACUAGAAAGAGUUCAGCUGCUCAUCAAUUAACCGAGGAAUCGAUAAACAAAAGGGAUUAGUACCCGCCUCCCAAACUGAGUAUCUGGGAGCUCAAAGGAAAACACUACUGAUACAUCAUAUUUAUGCUGCAACUGAACAUUAAGUGUUAAGUGAAAGAGUCAGAUAAACCAAGCUCUGCAUACUCUUUGAUUCUAUGCUAUAGCAAGUGCCUAGAAAAGGAGAGGUUUAUUGAGACAGGAAGCAGAUUAUUAUUUGCACAGGGCUGAGAGUGAAACCUGGGUUAAUGCCAGGAAGCACAGUGUACUUUGCACUUUGGAUGCUGAAGCUCUGAGACGUGAGAUGAAUCCUUGGUUCUUGUAGAAUUUAAUUCAGAUGGGCAAUGUAGGUGACAACGGAUGCACUUUCUUCUUGAGACUAAGUAGAAGAACG